rnacentral:rRNA from 1 species
AUUGAACGCUGGCGGAAUGCUUUACACAUGCAAGUCGAACGGCAGCACGGACUUCGGUCUGGUGGCGAGUGGCGAACGGGUGAGUAAUACAUCGGAACGUGCCCGGACGUGGGGGAUAACUACUCGAAAGAGUGGCUAAUACCGCAUACGAUCCAAGGAUGAAAGCGGGGGAUCGCAAGACCUCGCGCGUUUGGAGCGGCCGAUGGCAGAUUAGGUAGUUGGUGAGGUAAAAGGCUUACCAAGCCUGCGAUCUGUAGCUGGUCUGAGAGGAUGAUCAGCCACACUGGGACUGAGACACGGCCCAGACUCCUACGGGAGGCAGCAGUGGGGAAUUUUGGACAAUGGGCGAAAGCCUGAUCCAGCCAUUCCGCGUGCAGGAUGAAGGCCCUCGGGUGUAAACUGCUUUGUACGACGAAAAGGCUCUUGCUAAUACCAGGAGUCCAUGACGGUACCGUAAGAUAAGCACCGGCUAACUACGUGCCAGCAGCCG